UACGGAGGGUGCUAGCGUUGUUCGGAAUUACUGGGCGUAAAGCGCGCGUAGGCGGACCUGCAAGUCGGGGGUGAAAGCCCGAGGCUCAACCUCGGAACUGCCUUUGAUACUGCGGGUCUCGAGUCCGGGAGAGGUAAGUGGAAUUCCUAGUGUAGAGGUGAAAUUCGUAGAUAUUAGGAAGAACACCAGUGGCGAAGGCGGCUCACUGGCCCGGUACUGACGCUGAGGCGCGAAAGCGUGGGGAGCAAACAGG
rnacentral:rRNA from 1 species